rnacentral:rRNA from 1 species
GAUGAACGCUGGCGGUCUGCUUAACACACGCAAGUCGAACGCAACCUUCGGGUUGAGUGGCGGACGGGUGAGUAACGCGUGAGAAUCUGCCUUGGGGUCGGGGACAACCACUGGAAACGGUGGCUAAUACCGGAUAAGCCUUUGGGUAAAAAAUUUAUUGCCCCAAGAGGAGCUCGCGUCUGAUUAGCUAGUUGGUGAGGUAAAAGCUCACCAAGGCAGCGAUCAGUAGCUGGUCUGAGAGGACGAUCAGCCACACUGGGACUGAGACACGGCCCAGACUCCUACGGGAGGCAGCAGUGGGGAAUUUUCCGCAAUGGGCGAAAGCCUGACGGAGCAAGACCGCGUGAGGGAGGAAGGCUCUUGGGUUGUAAACCUCUUUUCUCAGGGAAGAAGCUCUGACGGUACCUGAGGAAUCAGCCUCGGCUUAACUCCGUUGCCAGCAGCCGGCGGUAAAUACGGAGGAGGCAAGCGUUAUCCGGAAUUAUUGGGCGUAAAGCGUCCGCAGGUGGCGAUUCAAGUCUGCUGUCAAAGCACGGGGCUUAACUCCGUUUAAGGCAGUGGAAACUGAAUAGCUAGAGUGCCGUAGGGUUAGAGGGAAUUCCCGGUGUAGCGGGUGAAAUGCGUAGAGAUCGGGAAGAACAUCGGUGCCGAAAGCGCUCUACUGGACGGCAACUGACACUCAGGGACGAAAGCUAGGGGAGCGAAUGGGAUUAGAUACCCCAGUAGUCCUAGCUGUAAACGAUGGAUACUAGGUGUAGCUUGUAUCGACCCGAGCUGUGC